AUGAACGCUGGCGGCGUGCCUAAUACAUGCAAGUCGAGCGAGCAGACGAGGAGCUUGCUCCUCUGACGUUAGCGGCGGACGGGUGAGUAACACGUGGAUAACCUACCUAUAAGACUGGGAUAACUUCGGGAAACCGGAGCUAAUACCGGAUAAUAUAUUGAACCGCAUGGUUCAAUAGUGAAAGACGGUUUUGCUGUCACUUAUAGAUGGAUCCGCGCCGCAUUAGCUAGUUGGUAAGGUAACGGCUUACCAAGGCAACGAUGCGUAGCCGACCUGAGAGGGUGAUCGGCCACACUGGAACUGAGACACGGUCCAGACUCCUACGGGAGGCAGCAGUAGGGAAUCUUCCGCAAUGGGCGAAAGCCUGACGGAGCAACGCCGCGUGAGUGAUGAAGGUCUUCGGAUCGUAAAACUCUGUUAUUAGGGAAGAACAAAUGUGUAAGUAACUAUGCACGUCUUGACGGUACCUAAUCAGAAAGCCACGGCUAACUACGUG
rnacentral:rRNA from 1 species